UCUUCCUUGGUGCAUCUGACAAAGUGAAGUGCUUUGACACCGGCAAACAAUUGAAAGCACAGGUGUUUACACAGGCUGAAAAGAAGGAUGUGUUUAGAUGUGGCACCACAAGCUUCCAUUACUGUCAAUUUAGAAGAGGCAGAGAGUGUCAGAAUAACUGAAAACAUAGAUAAAAGACUGCAGAUACAGUUCCUGAUCUGUAUUUGUCACUCUAAAAUGACAGAAUGGCAAAUGAGACACUUGGUAGAAAUUCACUCAGCUGAAAAGCUAUUCUUCUAAUGUCAGAGCCAUGGGGAACUGGAAUGUGCCCAGAGACAGUAAGAUCUGCUGUCUUAUAAACUGGCACAUCAUAAUGAGGAUGGCAUAAUGCACAGCUACCAGCAAACAGCACAGAGAGCACAACAGCGAUUCAUCCAGUCCCUAACCAUUCCCAGUGCAUGCUUUAGACAUACAGACAAAACUUCUAUGACACCAGAACAGAGAGAAUUAAGAGGCACUGAACCAGGGAUUUUGCUUGACAAGACAUCAAAGAGGUAACAGCCACAAGAGGAUCAGCAGGCUAAUCUGCAAGACACAAAAAUCUGAGAAGCAAAACCAGCUUGGCUAUAGAAAGGCAGAUCCAUGGCACAGUGCAGAACACCUGAGACUGACAGACCAAUUCUGUAGCUGAGCAUCACUGGCAUGGUGAUGUCAUAUAUGAAAAUGGCCAACAGCUUACGUCUAAAGGAGGUGCAAAAUGCAAAUCAUACUGCCAGAGGCUGUGAGAGUCUGCAUCUCUACUGGGAAAGUCUUAGGGAUCUGCCAAUUCAAAAGCAUUAAGGGCCUCUACUAUGGGAGGAAUGCAGCCUCCCUGGUAAAAGUAAACUUUGGUACCUUUGAGAAGAAAUGGAAGGAAAAUGAGGCUUGACAACUCAGGGGCUGGUCUGAGGAUUUGGUUGGCUUCCCUCAUGAUGUACUAUCAGCAGCAGAUUGCAGAGCAGAUGGAAAAGAACUAGACUUCAAGCAAUGUACAAAUUAUGAAAUUGAGGAGAUUGUUUCUUUACUGUAUUACUUGAAAACUGUAUAUAAAGAACAACUGUAUCUAGGGCCAGUCAUUUGACAGGAGCUGGCAUGUAAUUGCAGCAGAGAGUUUCACAUGGAAAACACAGCAAAGACAGCCUGUUCUUCCACUCCUUGGCUGCCAAAGCAAACACCUUUGCUGUGACUUCUUAACCAUCCAAUGGUUGAUACCAACACUUGAUAUAACUUUGUCUUGUAUUGUACUGACUGUUUUAUUUUCUGGUCCCUAC